UACGAAGGGGGCUAGCGUUGCUCGGAAUGACUGGGCGUAAAGGGCGCGUAGGCGGAUGGUACAGUCAGAUGUGAAAUUCCCGGGCUUAACCUGGGGGCUGCAUUUGAUACGUGUUGUCUAGAGUGAGGAAGAGGGUCGUGGAAUUCCCAGUGUAGAGGUGAAAUUCGUAGAUAUUGGGAAGAACACCGGUGGCGAAGGCGGCGACCUGGUCCUUGACUGACGCUGAGGCGCGAAAGCGUGGGGAGCAAACAGG
rnacentral:rRNA from 1 species